GCCCUGAGUAAGGCGAUAAACUGCUCACCACCGGAUUCUGCAUCACUUGAUCACUGAUGGCUCAACGGCUCACGGCGGACAAGUUAAUAAUGACGGCUGCCUUUUGAGCGGGUUGCCGCAGACCGAAACGGAGAACAUCUCUGUCGGGCUGUGGUUAGUUUUCUGCACCCUUUUUGCAGCCGAACC
rnacentral:ncRNA from 1 species